GAUGAACGCUGGCGGCGUGCCUAAUACAUGCAAGUCGAGCGAACAGAUGAGGAGCUUGCUCCUCUGACGUUAGCGGCGGACGGGUGAGUAACACGUGGAUAACCUACCUAUAAGACUGGGAUAACUUCGGGAAACCGGAGCUACUACCGGAUAAUAUAUUGAACCGCAUGGUUCAAUAGUGAAAGACGGUUUUGCUGUCACUUAUAGCUGGAUCCGCGCCGCAUUAGCUAGUUGGUAAGGUAACGGCUUACCAAGGCAACGAUGCGUAGCCGACCUGAGAGGGUGAUCGGCCACACUGGAACUGAGACACGGUCCAGACUCCUACGGGAGGCAGCAGUAGGGAAUCUUCCGCAAUGGGCGAAAGCCUGACGGAGCAACGCCGCGUGAGUGAUGAAGGUCUUCGGAUCGUAAAACUCUGUUAUUAGGGAAGAACAAAUGUGUAAGUAACUAUGCACGUCUUGACGGUACCUAAUCAGAAAGCCACGGCUAACUACGUG
rnacentral:rRNA from 1 species